GCUUUCCUACGGGGCGCAGCAGUGGGGGAUAUUGCACAAUGGGGGGAACCCUGAUGCAGCGACGCCGCGUGGGUGAAGGAGUGCUUCGGCAUGUAAAGCCCUAUCGGCAGGGAAGAAGCAAGACGGUACCUGACUAAGAAGCCCCGGCUAACUACGUGCCAGCAGCCGCGGCAAUACGUAGGGGGCGAGCGUUAUCCGGAUUCACUGGGGGUAAAGGGAGCGUAGACGGCCAUGCAAGCCAGGGGUGAAAGCCCGGGGCCCAACCCCGGGGCUGCCCUUGGAACUGCAUGGCUG
rnacentral:rRNA from 1 species